UAACCACUCAAGCCUCGGCUUGGUAUUGGGGUUCGCGGUUUCGCGGCCCUUAAAAUCAGUGGCGGUGCCGUCUGGCUCUAAGCGUAGUAAUUCUCUCGCUAUAGGGUCCAGGUGGUUACUUGUCAGAAUCCCCCACUUUUAUA
rnacentral:misc_RNA from 1 species